GACGAACGCUGGCGGCACGCCUAACACAUGCAAGUCGAACGGACGCGGAGGAAGCUUGCUUCUUCCAAGUUAGUGGCGGACGGGUGAGUAACACGUGAGCAACCUGCCUUUAAGAGGGGGAUAGCUUCUGGAAACGGAUGGUAAUACCCCAUAACAUAUACUGAUGGCAUCUUCAGUAUAUCAAAGAUUUAUCGCUUAGAGAUGGGCUCGCGUCUGAUUAGAUAGUUGGUGAGGUAACGGCUCACCAAGUCGACGAUCAGUAGCCGGACUGAGAGGUUGAACGGCCACAUUGGGACUGAGACACGGCCCAG
rnacentral:rRNA from 1 species